AUGAAUGCCGCCCUCGAGAAGAUGGAGUUCAUGGACGAGCUCGACCCGGUCGCCAGGGACUGGAGGGACCACGUCAGAGAGAUGUCCUACGACAUGGAAAACUGCAUCGACGACUUCGUGCGCCAGUUUGGAGAUGGUAAUGCAAAGUUAGGAUUCAUCAAGAAGACUGUUCGAAGCCUCAAGAUGUUGGGACAGCGCCACCGUAUCGCUGACCGGAUGGAGGAGCUCAAGGUUCUUGCACUAGAGGCAAAUGAACGACGCAUCAGGUACAAGAUCGAUGAAUUCAAUCCUAAUUCUAGCCCUGUGGCUAUUGAUCCUCGGUUGUCGGCAAUAUACACGAAGGCUGCUGGUCUUGUGGGUACCGAUGGUCCAAAGAAGGAGCUUGUUAAUUUGUUGACAAGUACAGCAGAAAAGGAGCUCAAGGUGGUGUCAAUUGUGGGAUUUGGAGGACUAGGUAAAACUACACUUGCCAAACAGGUGUACGAUGAGAUCAGAGGGCAGUUUGACCAUACAGCCUUUGUUUCCAUAUCCCAAAAACCUAACAUGACAGGGCUUCUCUAUCGUAUACAACUAAAACUUGGGAUGAAUUGGUCUUGUGUUUGUGAGGUGGAAGACAUCACUGACGAUCUUAGAAAUUAUCUCACACACAAGAGGUACCUUAUUAUAGUCGAUGACUUGUGGGACCAGUCAGCAUGGAAUACUAUAAGCCGCGCCUUUCCACCCCUCAACAAGCAAGACUCAAAAAAAUUGUUUUUUGGUAGAGUAUAUGGGUCUGAAGAUGAUCGUCAAUUUGAAGAAAUUACAGCUGAAAUUCUGAAGAAGUGUGGGGGACUUCCACUUGCAAUCAUUACUAUAGCUAGCCUAUUAGCUAGUCGUCCUAAAAAGUUAAGGGAUGAGUGGGAGCGCAUCAGGAACUCUCUUGGAACCCAAUUUUCGGUAAAUCCUACAUUGGAAGGAGUGAAGAAUAUAUUAAACCUUAGCUACAUCCAUCUUCCCCUUCAUCUCCGGGCAUGCUUUCUGCACCUUGGUAUAUAUCCUGAAGACCGUGCGAUUGAGAGGGAUGAUUUGGUUCGACAAUGGUCGGCUGAAGGACUUGUCAGAAAAUUGCAUGGGCAAGACUCCGAGGUUGUUGCUAAGAGCUAUUUUAAUGAGCUUAUCAACAGGAGCUUGAUUCAGCCUGGACGUAUUGAGUAUGAAAUAGCAAGAGACCAUGACCGGAAGUACAAGGUCCAUCGUAUAUCCAUGAACUUCAGUAAUGGUGGUGCAGCAGAUGAGACAUCAUCAAGGACCAUUCCUUCUAGCCUAUCACAAGUUCGAUCACUUGCACUUUUCGGGGAAUCCAAGUACAUGCCCACUCUUUUGCAUUUUAAGCAUCUCAGGGUGUUUCUCUUUGAAAGUUUGGUCAGCGAACCAAUUGAUCUUACUGCUAUUAGCCAAUUGGUGCAACUGAGAUAUCUCAGGAUCAUUAGCAAUCCCAGUUAUACGAGCGACAUGUUGUGCUCAGUAUCAGAACCUUUUCGUCAUAUCAAGGUCCUUAAUCUGAGUAGUUGUAGGAUGCCUAGAGUUCCCAAAUGGAUUUGUGGUCUCCAAUGCCUCUGCCGGCUAGAGCUGAAUGUUGACACGUGCACUGAUGAGUUGCACGCUCUUGGAGAGCUGCCCUCUCUCGUCCACCUCAGUUUACAGAUAUGCAGUAUCCCUGAAGACAGUGCUGUCACUUUCUCCGCCGGAUCAUUUCCGGUUCUGGAGUACUGUAAAUUGGAACCAGAGUAUGAUGUUACUGCGUACCUGGCCUUUGGGGCAGGGGCUAUGCCCAAACUAACUUGGUUUAGACUAUACUUCAACAACUGGGGCGGCGCUACACCAGUUGGCUUGGAGCACCUGUUGAGCCUCAAGUAUGUCAAAGUAAUCAUCCGCGGCCCCGAAGAAGUGGAGAAUGAAGCAGAGUCUGCCUUCAGGAACUGUAUGCAGCAGCAUCCAAACCGUCCUGAGUUUGACAUCUACAGUAUACCACGAUAA
rnacentral:rRNA from 1 species